GGUCUAUUAGCUCAUCCUGAGAAGAGCAGUCGGUCGAUAACCGACAGGUGAAAGGUUCAAGUCCUUUAUAGACCACCA
rnacentral:tRNA from 1 species